AUUGAACGCUGGCGGCAUGCCUUACACAUGCAAGUCGAACGGCAGCACGGGAGCAAUCCUGGUGGCGAGUGGCGAACGGGUGAGUAAUACAUCGGAACGUGCCCAGUAAUGGGGGAUAACCCGGCGAAAGCCGGACUAAUACCGCAUACGACCUACGGGUGAAAGCAGGGGAUCGCAAGACCUUGCGUUAUUGGAGCGGCCGAUGUCAGAUUAGCUAGUUGGNGGGGUAAAGGCCUACCAAGGCGACGAUCUGUAGCUGGUCUGAGAGGACGACCAGCCACACUGGGACUGAGACACGGCCCAGACUCCUACGGGAGGCAGCAGUGGGGAAUUUUGGACAAUGGGCGCAAGCCUGAUCCAGCCAUGCCGCGUGUGGGAAGAAGGCCU
rnacentral:rRNA from 1 species